rnacentral:rRNA from 1 species
UUGCUGGGGGAUUAGUGGCGAACGGGUGAGUAACACGUGAGUAACCUGCCCUUGACUCUGGGAUAAGCCUGGGAAACUGGGUCUAAUACCGGAUAUGACUCCUCAUCGCAUGGUGGGGGGUGGAAAGCUUUUGUGGUUUUGGAUGGACUCGCGGCCUAUCAGCUUGUUGGUGGGGUAAUGGCCUACCAAGGCGACGACGGGUAGCCGGCCUGAGAGGGUGACCGGCCACACUGGGACUGAGACACGGCCCAGACUCCUACGGGAGGCAGCAGUGGGGAAUAUUGCACAAUGGGCGCAAGCCUGAUGCAGCGACGCCGCGUGAGGGAUGACGGCCUUCGGGUUGUAAACCUCUUUCAGUAGGGAAGAAGCGAAAGUGACGGUACCUGCAGAAGAAGCGCCGGCUAACUACGUGCCAGCAGCCGCGGUAAUACGUAGGGCGCAAGCGUUAUCCGGAAUUAUUGGGCGUAAAGAGCUCGUAGGCGGUUUGUCGCGUCUGCUGUGAAAGACCGGGGCUCAACUCCGGUUCUGCAGUGGGUACGGGCAGACUAGAGUGCAGUAGGGGAGACUGGAAUUCCUGGUGUAGCGGUGAAAUGCGCAGAUAUCAGGAGGAACACCGAUGGCGAAGGCAGGUCUCUGGGCUGUAACUGACGCUGAGGAGCGAAAGCAUGGGGAGCGAACAGGAUUAGAUACCCUGGUAGUCCAUGCCGUAAACGUUGGGCACUAGGUGUGGGGGACAUUCCACGUUUUCCGCGCCGUAGCUAACGCAUUAAGUGCCCCGCCUGGGGAGUACGGCCGCAAGGCUAAAACUCAAAGGAAUUGACGGGGGCCCGCACAAGCGGCGGAGCAUGCGGAUUAAUUCGAUGCAACGCGAAGAACCUUACCAAGGCUUGACAUGAACCGGUAAUACCUGGAAACAGGUGCCCCGCUUGCGGUCGGUUUACAGGUGGUGCAUGGUUGUCGUCAGCUCGUGUCGUGAGAUGUUGGGUUAAGUCCCGCAACGAGCGCAACCCUCGUUCUAUGUUGCCAGCGGUUCGGCCGGGGACUCAUAGGAGACUGCCGGGGUCAACUCGGAGGAAGGUGGGGACGACGUCAAAUCAUCAUGCCCCUUAUGUCUUGGGCUUCACGCAUGCUACAAUGGCCGGUACAAAGGGUUGCGAUACUGUGAGGUGGAGCUAAUCCCAAAAAGCCGGUCUCAGUUCGGAUUGGGGUCUGCAACUCGACCCCAUGAAGUCGGAGUCGCUAGUAAUCGCAGAUCAGCAACGCUGCGGUGAAUACGUUCCCGGGCCUUGUACACACCGCCCGUCAAGUCACGAAAGUUGGUAAC